GCAAACGUCAGAAAGAAAGAUGGAUUAUUAUACAGCAAAAAUAGUCUUAGUCUUCGGUUUGGUGUUGCCAGAUACCUUUUAUCCGAGAAAAAGAUCCUGAUAGACAUUAUGACGGACAAUGACUUUCGUUCCUCGGACGAGACUUUUUUUUGCUGUUACGACUGAGUUGAAACUCAUGUUGUGAAAUGUUGUGAAAGCGUUCUACCCAUGCAGUCUCGGAAUACCAAUUAAGUAAAUUAUUGAGACUUUGACACUUUUCUAUGCAAUAAAAAAGGGAAAGCAGUGUGUUUUGUGGCCCUUAAAAAAUAGAUUUAUUUAAUUAUAUUAUACAACCUUU